GGAGACGUGAAAACUUCACGUUCUUUGCUAUAAACUUUGUGAGAUACGGAUUUAGGCACCUGUGCACAUUUUCAAGUUAUGCCCUUCUAGGGAAAAAUGCUUCUGGCUUGCAAAUCUAUAUACAGAAAUCAAAGCGAUCCUCACAACCCCUUGUGAGUAAAGGAAAGCGCAGAACUGACACAGAUUGGAUGAUGUGUUAAAAACGGGUUUUGGGAAAAGCUGGAACGUGGCUGAAGCGCCAUGAGUACAUGGUCCGGCUCCCUCCCCCGCUCCUUCCUGACCCCAGCUCUGUUUCCGUCCCUCUGUGUAUUCCAGGAACUGUUUACAGGUUUCUUAAAACAGUUCACAAUAAUGACUGUUAAUAGCCCCACCUCUCGUUCUGAGGACAGAGAGGGAGCUGGACACAGGACAGGCUGGGCUGAGAGCAGAGGGCAAGUCCCCGUGCCCCAGGCCAGCUUUGGGGCCAUAGAAGCUGCCAGAAAUGAUCAAGCCGGAGCAAGUGCCGGCCUCCAGGGGCGAGCUGAGGUCUGCCCUGCAUGGGACGGCCACCCGGUGGGGGCCGCCCUGUGUCCUAGAAAGAUCUGGGGUGCUGGGUCCGACACACACAGACAGGGACGACUCGCCUCCAAACCAAAGCAAAGUCAUCACUUCUUCUUCCAUAGAAAACAAUUAUGGAUUAUUCCAGACAAUUAAGUCCAACUACCCAGGCUGUUCCAGCUUCUGAGCUCAAGGAUUUGCUGCUCAAUUUAAAAUUAAACAAACGUCUCUGGCAAAUCCUCAGCUGGGCUGUGUGAAGCACAGAUCGGAAUGCCAGGCAGGGCUGAUGGGGAACAGGCUGCCGGCGCCCCCGAGGAUGCGCGAUCUGUGCAGGCCUUUGAAAGAGCAGAAGUGUUCAUUUUGGUGAAGUCCAGCACAUUGCCUUGCCCUGUUACAGAGCGUGCUUUUGAGGACGCACCCAGGGAAGCGUGGCCCGGCCCGUGGUCACUAAGGCUUCAUCCUAGCUCUGGUCUUCUGAGAACGUAUCCAGGGAAGCGUGGCCCAGCCCGCGGUCACAAAGGCUUCGUCGUCACUCUGCAGUCUUCUGAGGACGUAUCCAGGGAAGCGUGGCCCGGCCCACGGUCAUGAAGGCUUCGUCGUCACUCUGCAGUCUUCUGAGGACGUAUCCAGGGAAUCGUGGCCCGGCCUGCGGUCAUGAAGGCUUUGUCCUAGCUCUGCGGUUCUGGGCUUUACCUUCAGGCCCCUGACACAACCGGGGUAGGUUUUUCACUCCCAGUUCACUUUCUGGCAUGUGAGUAAUCCUAUCAUGACAGCACCCUUAUUAAAAGACUCCAUUAAAUGGUC